rnacentral:rRNA from 1 species
UACGUAGGGUGCAAGCGUUGUCCGGAAUUAUUGGGCGUAAAGAGCUCGUAGGCGGUUUGUUGCGUCGGCUGUGAAAUCCCGAGGCUCAACCUCGGGUCUGCAGUCGAUACGAGCAAACUAGAGUGUUGCAGGGGAGACUGGAAUUCCUGGUGUAGCGGUGAAAUGCGCAGAUAUCGUAAGGAAGACCAGUGGCGAAGGCGGGUCUCUGGACAGUUCCUGACGCUGAGG